CGCGUGGGGGGGGACACGUGAUGUGAGAGUAAGAUAAACUGUAGGAGAAAAGCAUUUCGUGGUGGGCCAUGAAGCCUUUCAGGACAUGUAUUGCAGUAUGGGCCGGCCCAUUACGCAAUUGGACGACAACAAAGACUAGUAUUAGUACCACCUCGGCUAUCCACAUAGAUCAAAGCUGAUUUAAAAGAGUUGUGCAGAUGAUCCGUGGCAUCAUCGCCGGAGAACGCCGGUUUUAGAGCUAGAAAUAGCAAGUUAAAAUAAGGCUAGUCCGUUAUCAACUUGAAAAAGUGGCACCGAGUCGGUGCUUUUUUGUUUUAGAGCUAGAAAUAGCAAGUUAAAAUAAGGCUAGUCCGUUUUUAGCGCGUGCGCCAAUUCUGCAGACAAAUGGCCCCGGGCUGCAAGUUCAAAUCUUGCAUUAGCGCAAGAAACGAACCCCACCCAACCCCAUAUCGACAGAGGAUGUGAAGAACAGGUAAAUCACGCAGAAGAACCCAUCUCUGAUAGCAGCUAUCGAUUAGAACAACGAAUCCAUAUUGGGUCCGUGGGAAAUACUUACUGCACAGGAAGGGGGGCGAUCUGACGAGGCCCCGCCACCGGCCUCGACCCGAGGCCGAGGCCGACGAAGCGCCGGCGAGUACGGCGCCGCGGCGGCCUCUGCCCGUGCCCUCUGCGCGUGGGAGGGAGAGGCCGCGGUGGUGGGGGCGCGCGCGCGCGCGCGCGCAGCUGGUGCGGCGGCGCGGGGGUCAGCCGCCGAGCCGGCGGCGACGGAGGAGCAGGGCGGCGUGGACGCGAACUUCCGAUCGGUUGGUCAGAGUGCGCGAGUUGGGCUUAGCCAAUUAGGUCUCAACAAUCUAUUGGGCCGUAAAAUUCAUGGGCCCUGGUUUGUCUAGGCCCAAUAUCCCGUUCAUUUCAGCCCACAAAUAUUUCCCCAGAGGAUUAUUAAGGCCCACACGCAGCUUAUAGCAGAUCAAGUACGAUGUUUCCUGAUCGUUGGAUCGGAAACGUACGGUCUUGAUCAGGCAUGCCGACUUCGUCAAAAAAAAGGCGGCAUGACCUGACGCGGAAUUGGUUCCGGGCACCGUCUGGAAGGUCUUACCGGGACCGGAAACGUGUCCCGCCUCCACUAAAUGGGAAACCUGGGGGGCUGCCAUCGGGCCGAACCCCUGGGGGGUGACCCCCCCGGAAGGUGCCCCCCCCCCCCUUCCCCCCUUUUUUUAAAAAAAAGGUUUUUUCCCCCCUUUUUCCCCAAAAGGGGGGCAAAUCCCCCCGGGGAAUUAAAGGGCCCCACAGGGAAAACCAAAGGGUUUUUUUUUUUUUUUUUUAAAACAAAAAAGAAUAAAAAAAGGGGCCCC
rnacentral:guide_RNA from 1 species